UACAGAGGGUGCAAGCGUUAAUCGGAAUUACUGGGCGUAAAGCGCAUGUAGGUGGAAUAAUAAGUUUGAUGUGAAAUUCCUGGGCUUAACCUGGGCAGGUCAGAUGAUACUGAUUGACUCGAGUAUGGGAGAGGGUAGUGGAAUUUCCGGUGUAGCGGUGAAAUGCGUAGAGAUCGGAAGGAACACCAGUGGCGAAGGCGGCUACCUGGCCUAAUACUGACACUGAGGCACGAAAGCGUGGGGAGCAAACAGG
rnacentral:rRNA from 1 species